rnacentral:lncRNA from 1 species
AAGCACUUUGAUUUGUAUUGGGGUGAAAGAGGGAAGACUUUUGAAUUGAGAAGUCAGAUAAAUGCUCUUCAAUUUCUGACUGUCCAGGGUAGUGGACGCAACGGACUGCAAAUGGUAAUGCUAAUAAAAUUUAUUCUAGAAUUUAUGCCACUAUCGUUUCAUAUCUCGCUUACUGAUCAAAAUGAGGGCAGCUGAGGUUGGAUGCUUGAUAUAGUUGUGGUUGAUGUGAG